AUUGAACGCUGGCGGAAUGCUUUACACAUGCAAGUCGAACGGCAGCACGGGGGCAGCCCUGGUGGCGAGUGGCGAACGGGUGAGUAAUACAUCGGAACGUGCCCGGUCGUGGGGGAUAACGUAGCGAAAGUUACGCUAAUACCGCAUACGAUCUGAGGAUGAAAGCGGGGGACCUUCGGGCCUCGCGCGAUCGGAGCGGCCGAUGUCAGAUUAGGUAGUUGGUGGGGUAAAGGCCUACCAAGCCGACGAUCAGUAGCUGGUCUGAGAGGACGACCAGCCACACUGGGACUGAGACACGGCCCAGACUCCUACGGGAGGCAGCAGUGGGGAAUUUUGGACAAUGGGCGCAAGCCUGAUCCAGCCAUUCCGCGUGCAGGACGAAGGCCUUCGGGUUGUAAACUGCUUUUGUACGGAACGAAAAGGCUCUGGCUAAUACCUGGGGCUCAUGACGGUACCGUAAGAAUAAGCACCGGCUAACUACGUG
rnacentral:rRNA from 1 species